rnacentral:misc_RNA from 1 species
AAGUCGUAACAAGGUUUCCGUAGGUGAACCUGCGGAAGGAUCAUUAACACGUAUCCAAACGUUAAAAACCCUGUGAACUUUCAUGCAGCUCCCGUAACCCGCAAGGAACAGCAAUCCCGGUAAAUCAUUGUUGAACAGUUUUGAUUCGGGACCUCUGUACAGUUACGGUCGUAGCUUAGAGUCAGUGGCAUGGCUUCCCCAGGCAGUAGUGAAAUGACAUUGUCACUAUCUGUGUAAGGAUAACGCCUCACGGUUGCUAGAGGUCGAUCACCGGCCGGCAAACAUGUCACAGGGCUAUAUGCCCCCUAACCACCCCUUGCACGAAUGUCUCGCCUAGUGGUCACGCGCUUGGCACCAAAACGAACAACUGUUAACAAUGGAUAUCUUGGUUCUC